AGUAGAUGGUUAGCACACGGGACACCCAUUGCGUCGUUUCCAGUUUGUUUGCAAUAACAUGCUGUUUGAGCGUUUCAAAACCGGUCUGCCUGGGCUGCUGUUGAUCCCUCUGUUGAUCACUCAUCCUAGGAAUAUGUUUGGAAAAGGGGACAUGUUUGGAAAAGUCGCCUAACGGUGCGAUAGCAACUAUAUGUUCAACGAUAAAUAUCAGAUAUCAGAUUUGUGUGAUAAGAUGAAAGCUGCCAUCGUGGUAUUGGUACAGGCAAUAAUACAUCGGAAAGACUGCCUACUGCCUAGCCUUUCGAGCUGCGAGAAAUCAUUGCCAGUAAUGCUGUCAAUUAUGAACUUUAGGAAAAAGAGAAAGCAAAGGAGAUCCAUCCCAUUUAUCAGAUACCAUUGGCUGCGUUCCUAUAAAUAAUGACGUGUGUUACAAAAAAUCCACACUUCGUGCGGUACUGC